GUGCUCAAUUUAGCAGCACAUAUACUAAAAUUCAAACAAUACAGGGAAGAUUAGCAUGGUCCCUGUGCAAGGAUGACACACAAAUUCCUGAAGUAUUCCAUACUUUU